AGGGAAGAAGCUAAACUAUAGCAGUUAGUUGUUACCUAACAGAAAGUGAAAAAUCUCACCUUCCCUA
rnacentral:tRNA from 1 species